UUCAGAGACACCGAACCUCACUUCGUUCCGUCCCAAAAUAUCCAGGCUAUAUGCUUGAGCAUUUUGGAGAGCCUCAAUACAGUCAUAGAAAAGCAUUCGCACACUUCAGAAUCCAAGCAUAAACCUUUGUCGAAAGCAAGUGUUCGUAGCUGAAAAAUCAGUCCGCCUUCGAGACAUGGCAGCCAUUUCCAAUGAAUAAUAAGAUUCAAGAUUAGCAGGUUGCUAGCCCACAAAUUUCUCAAUUAUACAGCUAUGGUGCAACGCUUACAUACAAUUCAUGCGGAAAUAAUUGUGAUUGAAUCAUUAGCGAUUUAAAUGAACUUAAACUGUUUUCGGAAUAAACACAUAACAACUCCUAAUUGAGAUUAUCGUUCGACAUUGACGUUGAUUACUGUAAACGUACGUCGUGGAUUACCGCAUGUAGCUAAAUGAAGGAAAGAUACAAUUUCAUCAAUGACUACAAUCACAGCACAAAUCAAAAUGUUUGAUUCGUGACAAAAAUAACCAAUUCAAAUUGGAUUCAACAGUAUCUCACGUAAUAAGCAAACAUGGACCUUCCUACAUAUGUAUAUAUGCGCAUAGUGAGACAAUGCUACAGCGCAUGUUAAGAAGUAAAUCAUAAUUUUCAAUUCAGUCAAUUUAAGACUAUCUGGCUCGGAGAUUUUUCGAAUAUAUCAAGGUAAAGGGACUGCUGGAAGGGGGUCAGAAAACGAACUAUCCAAAUGAAAUAUGCAUGUUCACAAGUUCAAAAACCUGAACUUGAACAUCCAUGGGGCGCGUUACAUAAAUUACUUCCAGCUUUAUGAAUAACGUGUCAGACAAUAAAUUGAAUACCACGCGUAUCUGAAUUGCAAGAGAAAAUCUGUUUCCUUUUUUUAAUCGGACUUUAGAGUGAAUUUCAAACGAAUUGGACAUACGUGACUGG
rnacentral:lncRNA from 1 species